UUACAUUGACGAGGGGGCCCAGCAGCACACACUGUCUUCCUUUCCAGCUCCUCUCUGACUAACUCUCGCGAGACAGGUCUGCCUGCUGUGCGGAGCGUUGACAUGGUUAGACAGAGAGCAGCUGGAAAGGAGGACAGAGUGUGCUGCUCGGCCCCCUCUUCAAUGUAC